UUUUUUGCAGCAGUGGCUCCAGGUUGCUUGAUGUGCCUACAUGCUCCUCUGGAUCCUCCUUGGUGUCCAUAGUCUUUGGAAGUGAUCAAGAUUCCACGCCACCACCAUCAUUAUGUGUUGGAAAACAGCAGAUGGCCUGGAACUUGUGAAGAAAUCAUAUGCACUGCACUCAAGUACUGUUGUGGGGUGACCUGUUGCCUGACAAGGAUGGGGACAGCACCUGGAGUCAGACGUGUUCUUUGACCCUUGGAGAGAAAACGACAACACUAAUUCGAAC